rnacentral:rRNA from 1 species
GACGAACGCUGGCGGCGUGCUUAACACAUGCAAGUCGAACGAGAGGCGAACGGGUGAGUAAUACGUGGGUAAACUGCCCUAUUUAUGGGAUAAGCCUUGGAAACGGGGUGUAAUUCCGGAUAAGGGGGAUGGGCGCGCGGCCUAUCAGCUUGUUGGGGGGGUGAUGGCCUACCAAGGCGGUGACGGGUAGCCGGCCUGAGAGGGUAACCGGGCACAGUGGGACUGAGCAGCGUCCCAGAGUCCGACGGGUGGGAGCAUUGGGGGAUAUUGCACAAUGGGCGAAGGCCUGAUGCAGCGACGCCGCGGGAGGGAUGAGGGCUUUCAGGUUGUAAACCUCUGUCGCAAUCGAACGGGUAGGUGGAGAAGAAGCGCCGGCUAACUACGUGCCAGCAGCCGCGGUAAUAC